UACGUAGGGUGCAAGCGUUAUCCGGAAUUAUUGGGCGUAAAGAGCUCGUAGGCGGUUUGUCGCGUCUGCUGUGAAAACUGGAGGCUCAACCUCCAGCCUGCAGUGGGUACGGGCAGACUAGAGUGCGGUAGGGGAGAUCGGAAUUCCUGGUGUAGCGGUGAAAUGCGCAGAUAUCAGGAGGAACACCGGUGGCGAAGGCGGAUCUCUGGGCCUUACCUGACGCUCAGGCGCGAAAGCUAGGGGAGCGAACAGG
rnacentral:rRNA from 1 species